AGAGCACGGUCUGAUCCAGUCCAAAAUGGAUGUUCACAUCACGAUGAAGGUUGGGAAUAGCUCUGUCUGUUUGCUUUAACUCACUGACCAGCGCUGAUGCCAUCAGACAGUCCAAAUCACUUCUGCCAUUGCAGGUGAAGAUUUCCCAAAGGACCACUCCAAAGCUCCAGAUGUCACUCUCCGUGGUGAACUUCCUGUACAUGAUGCUUUCUGGCGGCAUCCAGCGAAUGGGUAGCAUCGUCCUCCCACCGACCUGAUGAGGUGAUCAAGAACAGAUUACAACCAAACAUCUCUGCUGUGGUCCCCGAUCUUCACCACCAGCCCUUCUCCGACUAAACAGUUCCUGGUGGCCAGGUCUCUGUGGACGAAAUGAAGGGAAG